ACGGAGGAAGGUGGCUUCUCAGGCACGGGGGGAGCACCGGCCAAGUGGGUAGUGGGGAGGCCCAGAGUCCAGCAGCUGCACCCAGGCUUGCGUGUCUGGGGAGGACAGCCCGGCCCAGGCUCUUUCUGCACUGAAGCUGGAACCCACCAGGGUCGGGUUGCUCUGUUAGCUCCAGCACACGGAGCAAACACACAAAGAUUAGCAAACUUCUUUCCGGUGAGCUGAGUCAAAGCGGAUGAGCAAACACGGGCGCCCUGUGAGUCUGGCGUCUUCACCUGUGAGAAGGCAGACAAGCCCCUCACUGGCCCCGGAGGAGGAAUCACUGUUUGGUUUGAGAGGCGAGAGUGAGGCCCAGCGGGGUCAGGAGAAGGGCCCGGGCGCCCCAGGCAUGGGGGAAAUGCCCAGGAGAAACAGCCAGAACCAGGGAGGAGCCUUCCUGGCACACUGGAGAGCUUCCUCGGGAAGGCAGACGCGUUCGCAGAGGGCCUGGCCCACGGGGGUCGGCUGGCAGGAGCGAGGAGCAGAGAUCGCAGGAGCCACGGUGGUGGGUGAGCCCUGAACUAUACAUCAGACUCGGAAAACGGCAGCGUUGCAGGGGACAUUCAGCUAACCGUGAGGCCUGAUGAGGGCGUGGCACACACACAUCUAUGCCCUGAGCUGGGACGAGCUGCACAGAGCGGGCUGGGGGCUGCUCCCUGGAAAAGAGGCAGCAGGUCCCUGGGACGCCUGGAGCCGCUUCUCCCGGUGCCAGCCUUGCCCUCUGCGUACUGGACAGCAACAAGCCCAGGCACAGAAUGCCAGCCUGAUCUCCAGAUGAGCCUCUGAUGAUUCAACACACCCGUUGCACUAUUUUUGUUAAUUUCAUCCAUCUUCAGUAUUCUUUGUGUCUCAGCUAUUCUUUCUUGUUCCUCUGCUUCAUCCUUACCACCUAGCAUUCAGGCAGUUCCACGCAGGCCCACUGCCCCUGGGUUCCGGAAGUCAAAGGUCCCUGUCACCAGCAACUCUGGUUAACAAAAGAGACGAGGAACCAGGCGAGCACCUGCCAUCCCAAAUGCUCCUGCGCCCCGGCCAGUCUUGACCUGAGUAGUUUGUAAUGCCCAACUUGGGCUUUUCUGCACCCAGCUAGGGAGACCCAUCCUUCCUCCCACCUCUGGUCAAGGUUUAUUCGACUCCAGCCUCUUCCUCAGCCCAGCCCAAUACUGUCCUGCCCACAGGGAGGCCCCUUUUCUCUGUUGCCAGCAUAGUUAGGAGUUCGCCCUCUCUCUAAGCACUUUCUGCUUUUGGCGGCCCCAGGGAGGGAAGGGCAGAGUCCUGUGAACCCAGUGUGCCAUCUUGGGCAGUAAGUCCACCCUAGCAGGGGGCUAGGCUAUUUUGCCUGGCAAAUGGAUUGAUGAUGUUUUUCUUUUGUUCCCCCUACGUAAAUAUUAAGUAAGGCAUUGCUUCUCUUUCAGCUUAAUCAUCAGGGCCCAGUCAUCCUUCAGGCACCUGUGGCUCACCCACUCCUUCUGGGGAGGGGAGGGGAUGACUUGACAGGUUUAUUCCCCUGGAGGCUGGGGCUGGGGCUGGGGGUUGGCCUGUCAGCUGCACUAUUGCUCAUUUCUCAGCUAGGCAGCCCCUGGCCCAUGGUUGGGGUGUUGGCUGCUUUGGCUGGUUUGGCUCCGGGCUCAGAGCUCCACAGAAGGUACCUGGGUACCUGCUGAGCCCCUCCCAUCACACAUGUGAUGCAACAGAGCACGUAUCCUGGAGGAGGCCCUACUGUGCCCACGGCGCUGCCCCCAUAGAGAGGCCCUCAAGGCAUAUGCCUUGGGCCAGAGCUGUGUGCCUGCUCUUUGAUCAGAGCUGGUGCAGUGCCCGGGACUCACAACAUGCCUUACGGAUGAAGAGAAGUCCCUAUUCCCAAGGUCCUGAAGUCCUUGAGGGACAAUUGGGCCAUCCAGAGAGACAUGAGGGUCAGAGAGGAAGGUAGCAGCUCACCCCCGCACUGCAGAGAGCCUGCCGAACACCCUGCCUGUGCCCCCAUGGUGUAGGUGCUCUUACUGCCCCACCUUACAGAUGAGAAAACUGAGGCCCAGCUAGGUGAACCCGUGCCCGAGGCAGCCUGGUAAGUGGCGAAGCUGCCACGGAGCCUCCUUCAACCCAUCUGCCAACCUUCAACUCUGUCAAUGGGAAAACUCUAAGUAGCCAGCACCUUAGAAAGGCGACUUACCUGUGCCCACCCCCAUGAUUUACGUGUUUCCGCUCCAUGAUUUACCUGUGCCCGCCUCCAUGAUUUACCUGUGCUCACCUCCAUGAUUUACCUGUUCCCACCUCCAUGAUUUACCUGUGCCCGCUCCAUGAUUUACCUGUUCCUGCUCCAUGAUUUACCUGUUGCUGCUCCAUGACUUACCUGUGCCCAACUUCAUGAUUUACCUGUGACCGUCUCCAUGGAAACCACAAGCCUGAGAUCCACGGAGGGGA
rnacentral:lncRNA from 10 species